rnacentral:rRNA from 1 species
AUUGAACGCUGGCGGCAGGCCUAACACAUGCAAGUCGAACGAGUGGCGGACGGGUGAGUAAUGUCUGGGAAACUGCCCGAUGGAGGGGGAUACCUACUGGAACCGUUGGUUAUUCCCGCAUACCUUCGACUUUGCCCAUAUGGGUUUAGCUAGUAGGUGGGGUAAAGGCUCACCUAGGCGACGAUCCCUAGCUGGUCUGAGAGGAUGACCAGCCACACUGGAACUGAGACACGGUCCAGACUCCUACGGGAGGCAGCAGUGGGGAAUAUUGCACAAUGGGCGCAAGCCUGAUGCAGCCAUGCCGCGUGUAUGAAGAAGGCCUUCGGGUUGUAAAGUACUUUCAGCGGGGAGGCGUUACCCGCAGAAGAAGCACCGGCUAACUCCGUGCCAGCAGCCGCGGUAAUAC